rnacentral:rRNA from 1 species
AUACGGAGGGUGCAAGCGUUAUCCGGAUUUAUUGGGUUUAAAGGGUCCGUAGGCGGAUCUGUAAGUCAGUGGUGAAAUCUCAUAGCUUAACUAUGAAACUGCCAUUGAUACUGCAGGUCUUGAGUAAGGUAGAAGUAGCUGGAAUAAGUAGUGUAGCGGUGAAAUGCAUAGAUAUUACUUAGAACACCAAUUGCGAAGGCAGGUUACUAUGUCUUAACUGACGCUGAUGGACGAAAGCGUGGGGAGCGAACAGGAUUAGAUACCCCGGUAGUCC